GGAACUGAUUCAGCUAGAACGGUCAUUAUUUUCGGUGAAAAGAUUCGACAUCUCUUGUAUUUCUUGGAUAGAGAAAAACUUAUACAGAGAGUGCGAUGUGGUCAAAAAAGACGUAGUCAAUGCAAUUUUGUGCGAACUUUCAGUACUGGCAUUUAUCCAGCAUAAAUUAGUAGAAACAUUCCCGACAACCAUAUUCCGUUACACGAACCGCAUGGUGACUGACAUCUUAGACAAAAAUGAACAAAAAGAAAUUACGGUGUCAGAACAUAACAGGGCUCAUAGAGCCGCUCAGGAAAAUGUGAAGCAGAUUAUGCAAGACUUUUUUUUCCCAAAAUGACUCAUAUGGCAAGUGAGGGCGUCGCUAAUUGUAAAACCUGCCAAAAGGCAAAAUAUGAUCGACAUCCUCAGAAACAGAUUCUCGGAGAAACACCGAUUCCCUCAUAUACAGGCAAAUUUUUACAUAUGGACAUAUUUUCUACAGAUAAAAAAUACUUUCUUACUUGUGUAGACAAAUUAUCUAAAUUUUCAAUUGCCCAACCAAUCGCUUCCAGAACCAUUGCAGACGUACAAACCGCGACUUAACAACUUAUUAAUUUCUAUCGACGAACUAAAACAGUAUAUUGCGACAAUGAGCCUUCUAUAAAAUCCGAAACAAUUAAAACCCUUCUAAGUAACCAGUUUAACAUACAAAUCGUUAAUGCACCGCCACAUCAUAGUACGUCAAACGGACAAGUGGAAAGAUUACACAGUACACUGGCAGAAAUUGCACGGUGCUCAAAAAUCGAGAGAGGAAUUAAGGACACGGUUGAAUGAAUACUUCUCGCGGUUAUAGAAUACAAUAAAACCAUUCUCUCAGUAACAAAUAAACGACCCAUCGACGUAAUACACUCGUCGACGAUAGAGCUUAACACAGAAAUUAGGGAUAAAGUCUUAAAUGCGCAGAAUAUUCAACUAGAAAGAUUAAUCAAAACAAGACAAGACAGAAAUUUUCAGGUUUUGGACAAUAUUACUUAUCGCUGUAUCCAUAACAACAAAAAUGGCCGACUUCAAAUUACAUACCAAUCAUAGACGGGGAUGUAACUAUUUGGAAAGACUUCCAAUACCUUAAGCACUCAAGUAACCUAACCCUGCAUGUAAAAAAUAAUCUUGCACCCCGUUGAACACAACGGCACUAUUCUUAAUUUUGCCGAAGGUGAUAUUAUAGCUGACUGCGGUAACAAAAUUAUGCCGACUGGAAACUGCAGAAAUUACCUUCACAACAUGCGCACAACUCCACUCAGGGGGCAACGCACACUGUUGGACUCGCACGAGACACCUCGAGCCGCUAACAAUCAUCGACGACGGCAUUAUUCUCACUGACGGAACAGCUACGAUCAACGGAAAAUUUCUCGUUACAUUCGAUGAAGAAGCAAAAGUAAACACCACCGUAAACGCCUUAAAAAAAAACCUAGCGCCAGCUGCAUCAACGGUCAUUAACAUUACGGGUCAUCAAGAAUUACUGAGUUUACCAUACUUGCAAAAAUUAAAUAUGGAAAAUUUCCGAUACAUUGGUGAAAUGGAAAAGGGACUGGUAAAACGGCCUAUAGUAUCUGGACAGGCCGCGAUCGCUUUUUUGGCCAUCUGCUUUACUGUUUCCAAACUCUAUCAGAGACGCCAGCGGGUCCGUCGCCAGCAUGGUCUCCAAGUUAUUAUUGACAAAAAAAAGUCCGAGGACGUCCUUCAUCUAAGCAAGGGAGGAGUUAACACGGUCACCCAGCAACAGAAAAGUUGCCAGGCUGAUCCCGCAUAACCGGAUGGGAAUAAUGCAAGGCCAGCGUCAGCUGCGGUUAUUGCACAAUGACGGUGCUAUGGUCAGCAUAAUCAGCGGACAAUGCACUGCGACGAAAGCAGCACACAAUCGGCGUCCAACUCCAUGCACGUGACGCCGGGUCAGCAGUUUCAGAGCAUAGGGAUAGCUUUCGUUUAAGAAGAUAUGUACCUAGCAGUUAGUUGAAUUUUGGAAAUAAAUUGUGACGGUCAUCACCUCGCGAAA